rnacentral:rRNA from 1 species
GACGAAGGAUGCAAGCGUUAUCCGGAUUCAUUGGGUUUAAAGGGAGCGUAGGCGGAUUUGUAAGUCAGUGGUGAAAUCUCCGGGCUCAACCCGGAAACUGCCAUUGAUACUGCAGGUCUAGAGUACAGUUGCCGUUGGCGGAAUAUGACAUGUAGUGGUGAAAUACUUAGAUAUGUCAUAGAACACCGAUUGCGAAGGCAGCUAACGAAGCUGUAACUGACGCUGAGGCUCGAAAGUGCGGGGAGUCAAACAGG